CCUACGGGAGGCAGCAGUAGGGAAUAUUGCUCAAUGGGGGAAACCCUGAAGCAGCAACGCCGCGUGGAGGAUGAAGGUUUUCGGAUUGUAAACUCCUUUUGUUAGAGAAGAUAAUGACGGUAUCUAACGAAUAAGCACCGGCUAACUCCGUGCCAGCAGCCGCGGUAAUACGGAGGGUGCAAGCGUUACACGGAAUCACUGGGCGUAAAGAGCGCGAGGGGGGGAUAGCAAGACAGAUGUGAAAUCCUAGGGCUUAACCAUAAAGUUGCAUUUGAAACUGUUAUUCUAGAGUAUGGGAGAGGUAGGUGGAAUUCUUGGUGUAGGGGUGAAAUCCGUAGAGAUCAAGAGGAAUACUCAUUGCGAAGGCGACCUGCUAGAACAUCACUGACGCUGAUGCGCGAAAGCGUGGGGAGCAAACAGGAUUAGAUACCCGGGUAGUC
rnacentral:rRNA from 1 species